rnacentral:rRNA from 1 species
UACAGAGGGUGCGAGCGUUGUCCGGAAUCACUGGGCGUAAAGGGCGCGUAGGUGGCGGCAUAAGGCCGUGGUGAAAGUCUGGGGCUCAACCCCAGAUCGGCCGCGGCGACUGUGUCGCUAGGGCACCGUAGAGGCAGAUGGAAUUCCGGGUGUAGCGGUGGAAUGCGUAGAGAUCCGGAAGAACACCAGUGGCGAAGGCGACUUUCUGGGCUGUAACUGACGCUGAGGCGCGAAAGCGUGGGGAGCAAACAGG